GAAAAGGGGGGGGGGGGGGUGUUUCCAUAAAUAACUAGCACUGCACUACAAUAUAAAACCACAUCUACUGUACAUAGAGAUAUAAAACUCAAAGACAUUACUCCACAAAUACUCUUACCAGCACCUCAAAUCAUGUGGACAGACUUAACUUCACUAUGUCUACAUAUUUCAGUGUCAGUCUAAAAUACACUUAUUCAUGCUACAGAUAGGAACUAUGCAUUGAAGGUUUACUGUAAAGAAGCAAGCUUUUUAUUUUUCUAAAAUGCAUUUUAAAUGUGUGUACUAUUCAAAUAAUGAUUGGUAUAGAAAUGGCAUUUAUUGAUUGUGAUAUUUUUUUUUAAAUUGAAUCAAUAUUUUUGUUUUCUUUGUUGAUGAGCUUUGUUUAUUUAUACAUGUAGAGAAUAUGUAAUGUAUAAUAUGUAAUAUGUAAUUCAUUAAAAGUGGAGGAAAUUUAAGAACCAAAUAUAUUUUACAUUAUUUGCCGAAUGAAAAUAAUUUACAUUGAAGUUGGUGUUAUCAUUUACCAGGUCGAUCAAUGAUUUUAUUAUAAUGAACUUUGUAUUAAUUAAAAAAAAACAACUGACUAAAAGGUUUUUUUUUUAAAUUUCUGACACCAAAACAAAAACUGACUAAAACCAAAGGCUUGUCUUCAAGUCCCAAGAUUUUAUAAGAUAGCAUGACUAAUAUGAUGACACUUUUGUGUCAAUUAAUGUUCUUUUUUUUUAUAUAUUUUUUUAUAACAUCUUUUUUUUUUUGUUUGACAGUUGAAAUUAAACAUGAACAAACAAAUUAAAGGUCUGUAUAUUGUAAAUAAUGUGUUAACAUAAUACGAAACUUCAUUUGAAAGCAG